rnacentral:rRNA from 1 species
UUCCAGCUCCAAUAGCGUAUAUUAAAGUUGUUGCAGUUAAAAAGCUCGUAGUUGAAUUUCGGGGUUAGUAGGUUGGUCAUGCCUCCGGUAUGUACUGAUCUCACUGAUUCCUCCUUCCUUAUGAACCGUAAUGCCAUUAAUUUGGUGUUGCGGGGAAUUUGGACUGUUACUUUGAAAAAAUUAGAGUGUUUAAAGCAGGCUAACGCUUGAAUACAUUAGCAUGGAAUAAUGAAAUAGGACGUUCGAUCUUAUUUUGUUGGUUUCUAGGAUUGACGUAAUGAUUAAUAGGAAUAGUUGGGGGCAUUAGUAUUCAAUUGUCAGAGGUGAAAUUCUUGGAUUUAUUGAAGACUAACUACUGCGAAAGCAUUUGCCAAGGAUGUUUUCAUUAAUCAAGAACGAAAGUUAGGGGAUCGAAGACGAUCAGAUACCGUCGUAGUCUUAACCAUAAACUAUGCCGACUGGGGAUCGG